AUCAAUUGCAGAUCUUGGACCCUGAGAACUGCUGAGGAAUUGUAUUCCCCUCCUCAUGAAUGCAAGCUCCGUGAGGCCAGGAACAGUUUCAUCUCUGUUUUUGUAUCUCCAGUGCCUAGCCCAGUAAUGGAUGAAUAAAUGCUUGCUGAUUGUUUUAUUCUAA